rnacentral:rRNA from 1 species
GAUGAACGCUGGCGGCGUGCUUAACACAUGCAAGUCGAACGGAAAGGCUCCUGCUUGCAGGGGUACUCGAGUGGCGAACGGGUGAGUAACACGUGGGUGAUCUGCCCAUCACUUCGGGAUAAGCCUGGGAAACUGGGUCUAAUACCGGAUAGGACGAUGGUUUGGAUGCCAUUGUGGAAAGUUUUUUCGGUGUGGGAUGAGCUCGCGGCCUAUCAGCUUGUUGGUGGGGUAAUGGCCUACCAAGGCGUCGACGGGUAGCCGGCCUGAGAGGGUGUACGGCCACAUUGGGACUGAGAUACGGCCCAGACUCCUACGGGAGGCAGCAGUGGGGAAUAUUGCACAAUGGGCGCAAGCCUGAUGCAGCGACGCCGCGUGGGGGAUGACGGCCUUCGGGUUGUAAACUCCUUUCGCUAGGGACGAAGCGCAAGUGACGGUACCUGGAGAAGAAGCACCGGCUAACUACGUG